UGUGCUUUCCCAAUCAUGCCAGUUUUGGCUCUGGUCCUGGAGCAACUGGGGAUACUUUCCAAGACUUGGAGUCAGUGCAGGAAAACAAUGAAGCCACACAAAAGCGGGAAAUGUGGACAUACGGUGAUCCUGACUGUGUACCUCAGUGACACUCAACAGAUGCUGACGGAGGUGCCCGUCACCCCUGCCACCCGAGUGUUUGAUGUGGUGGAGUACUGCAAGGAGGCCGGCGAGGGCGAGUGUCACCUUGCCGAAGUCUGGAACGGCCGUGAGCGGGUGCUCCCUCAGGAACUGCUGCUGCUGGACCUGCUUCAACAGUGGGGAUCCCGGAGGCCCGAAGUCCGCUUCUACCUCAGACACUGCCCCUCCUGGCCACAAGGCAGCCAGAAGUCGUCGGAGGGAAGCUGGGCGGCAGGAGCAGUGGACAGUAAUGGGGUCUCUCCAGUACCUGUCCCUGGGCCGGAGCGCGGACAAGCCAAGGACCUGAGGCACGGUGGCGACAUCUGGGUUCCCCGUGUGGAGCUGACCCUCUCUGAGCUUCAGGAAAUGGCCACAAGACAGCAGCAACAAAUUGAAGCUCAGCAACAGAUGUUGGUGGCCAAGGAGCAGAGACUGAGGAACCUCCAGCAGGGAGGCAGUCCAAACCAGACGCAGACACAGUCUGAAGCUGCCAAGCUGCAGCAGCUGAAGGAGCGAGUGGAGUCGCAGGAAGCCAAGCUAAAGAAGAUCAGAGCCAUGAGAGGCCAAGUGGACUACAGUAAACUCAUCAAUGGGAACCUGUCUGCAGAGAUCGAGCAUGUCAGCAGCUUGUUUCAGGAGAAGCAGGCUGAACUCCAGUCUGCUGUGAUCAGAGUAGACCAGCUGACUCAACAGUUGGAGGAUCUGAAGAAAGGACGACUUCAACUGCAUUCUCUGGUGCAGCACCACGGGCAGCCCAACAGGACCCAGGCAGCCACCGUGGGCCCCAAAAGUUCCCCCAUGUCAGGACCUGCUGCUUUGGAGCUGAGGAAGCUCUACCAGGAGCUGCAGGCACGCAACCGUCACAAUCUCGAGCAAAGCACCAAGUUGGCGCACAACAAGGAGCUUCUGAACAAGCGCAAUGCCCAGGUGACGGUCAUGGACCAGCGGAUUGGAGACCUGCGGGAGCGACUGCACAAGAAGAGGGCUGAAUUGAGCCGCAUGAACGAGGGGUUGACCUCUCCUCAACCGUCCCACGCUGGUGGUGGAGUGUCAGGUCGAGUGGCAGCGGUUUGCCCCUACAUCCAGGUUCCAGCGGUGGGGAGACAAAAUCUUCCCUCUGACCCACCCCCAAAGCCAACUCCACUCAGCCAUGUUCGCUCCCUCUCAGAGGAGCAGAGGAGUGGCCUCAGCAAUCCUGCCAGCCAAUGGAAAGUGUCCGAUUUAGACAUCGUCUUGUCAGAACCACCAGCAGAAGGUCGGCAGUCCUCUGAAGGCGACGGUGACAACCCCAAUGAAGCAUCAUGGCCCCGGAUCACCAAGAGUGUGUCGGAUUGGAGAGACAAGAGUCCUGAGCAGCAGCUGCCCUCCGGUUACGGCACCUACCCGAGCGCCACUCACCAGGCCACCGCUCACCACUGCUCCACCAGCUCUCUGCCCAGAUCUGCACCAGGAACUCUAGGCUGGCCUCGGUCCAGUGGAAGUCCGACCUCAUCUCAGCAGAGAGUGUCCAGCUCUCCCAACUCCAGCCCAGGUUCUGCCAGCACCUCGCAGCCCUCAGCGCUAACCACCCAGACCGAACGUACAGAGCCUCCUCCCGCUGUGGCAGUCCGCCCUUACGUCCCCGACCACCCCUCCAGACCUCAGUCGCCGAGAAAAGGACCAGCCACGAUGAACAGCAGCUCCAUCUACAGCAUGUACCUCCAGCAGCCCCAAUCCAAAAACUACGGCUCCCUCAGCAACCGGAGCACGGUCAAAGCCGUCUAUGGCAAGCCCAUCCUCCCUGCGUCUUCCACUUCCCCGUCCCCGGUGCCUUUCCUGCCGGGAGGAAGCAGCAAAGUACGGGAGGACGAGAAAGAGGAAGGGAAAGGAGCAGGAGACAGGAGUGAAGGAGCCAGCGCCCCCCCACCCAGUGUGGACAACAUCCCCCGUCCGCUCAGCCCCACUAAACUCACCCCUGUGGCUCAUUCACAGCUUCGCUACCAAAGUGACAGCGACCUGGAGGUUCUGCGGCGGCGGCUCAGCAACGCUCCACGUCCCCUCAAGAAGAGGAGCUCCAUCACGGAGCCCGAAGGGCCGCAGGGCCCUAACAUCCAGAAGCUUCUGUAUCAGAGGUUCAACACACUGGCAGGAGGCAUGGAGGGCGCUUCAGUCAACACAUUCUACCAGCCGGAGAUCCUCCUUGCAGACGUGGACAACAUCCAGUCGACUGGCGGGAGCACCGAACCCCUUGAGAAACUCCCUGUGAUGUCGGCUGAGGCUCAGAUCUCUGACAGCCGCCGCUCCUCCCCACCCCUCAACAGCCCUGCCGUGGAAGCUGCUGUGGAGAAAAGCCAAGAUUCCAUUGCAAAUGUGCCUCCAACACCAAAACCCCCGGAGCCCAACCCAAGUGAAGACCAGCGAGGCCCCAGUCCGGCCCAGAGCAGCGUCAGGUCCUCGCCAUCACCCCCAGCUGCUCCACCGCAGCCCAAGGUCAAGAGAACCAACCUGAAGAAGCCGUCGUCAGAUCGCAGCGGACACGGACUGAGGGUGAAGUUCAACCCCCUGGCUCUGCUGCUGGAUGCGUCCUUGGAGGGUGAAUUUGAUCUGGUGCAGAGAAUCAUAUAUGAGGUGGAGAACCCCAGCAUGCCCAACGAUGAAGGCAUCACCCCGCUCCAUAACGCAGUGUGCGCUGGUCACCACCACAUCGUCAAGUUCCUGCUGGACUUUGGCGUGAAUGUGAACGCAGCGGACAGCGACGGAUGGACUCCUUUGCACUGCGCUGCCUCCUGCAACAGUGUCCAUCUUUGUAAGAUACUGGUGGAAUCCGGUGCUGCCAUUUUUGCCACGACCAUCAGCGAUGUGGAGACGGCAGCGGACAAGUGUGAAGAGAUGGAAGAAGGGUACGCCCAGUGCUCCCAGUUCCUCUACGGAGUCCAGGAGAAGUUGGGCGUGAUGAACAAGGGUCUGGUCUACUCACUGUGGGACUACAGCGCCCAGCAGCCAGAUGAGCUGUCCUUCAGUGAGGGCGACACCAUCACCGUGCUGCGCCGCCGAGAUGAAACCGAGACCGAGUGGUGGUGGGCCAAAGUCAGCGAUCGCCAAGGAUACGUUCCCAGAAACCUGCUGGGGGUGAGAGAAGUGACUUUGUCUGGUGACGCUGAAUGAUGAUGGCAUGCAAACAAACCCCUGGCAACACAACAAAGGAGCUGGGAACGAGAAAUGCCAGGGAGAGGGGUCGUCCGUCAUUAUGUUUUGGUUUGGUGUCUUCUCACAGAACUACGGAGAAGGGCCAGCAUGCUGUAUCCACGGAUCAAACCCCGACAACGCACGCUGGCUUGAAGCCCAGACCAGAGCCGUGUGAGCCGUGUGCGGAGGAGCAGCAGCAUGGAGGCGGACGCUCCGUUCCGCUCUGCUCCGGCGUGGAAGAACAAAGAGACGGAGGCGAGCGGGGACACAGAACCAAACUCAGAUGGAGCUGACUCUUGUGUUCAGGAUCCAAAUAUAUGAACUAGUUGACAGAAUUGACCGCUUCACAUUUGCAUGACAGAGCCAGAGCCGCUCCCUUGGUUGCAGCGACAGCUGGAAGCAACAACCAAGUGUGCCUGGGUCGUCAUAUUCAACCCGAGUCUGAAACCUGAGCUUCAAAAUAAGCAACACAAGCCGAACAAAACGUACGCUUGGCGCUCUUUUUCUUCAAGGAAUACGUUUUGUCAAAUCACUAGAUUUUGCUCACGGUAUGCAACAGUGAUGGUAACUCAGCAGCCUCGGAAGCUGGACACAAACAAAUCGGUGCAAUCACAGGACUUCACACAUGGAACCAGGCCAGUCUUGAUCUCUGAGACAGACAUGACACCUGUCUGCAGUGUGGCAAUGCAAGCCAAGCUUAAAACAUCACUGUUCUGUGGCGGUUCUUGCACUGAACUGGCUUCAGUCUUGGAGCUCCAGUUGCAUAUUGAAACGCAGAUACACAGACAUAUCACAUUUCUGAAACGACUCGUCUUUGGAAGACAACAAGAACAACGUCCAAUAGUAAUUCACAAAGGAUUUUAAUAGCCUUUGCUUAUGACGGGAUUAUUGAUGGAGGGAUAAAGUAAGUCCAGGUCAUUUGGUUUUGUUGAGGUUGAAGGCACAAAGCAACAUCAUCUUGUCAGUACUUUGUCAUUGGAGGAACGGGAUGACGGAUUAUGAGCGAGUAUGGACGAAAGACAAAUCACCACUUGGGCUUUCUCAAUGUUUAUUUUUAUUCCUCACAUGACAAGAGGCACUUUCCUGAACUCACAUCACAACAAACCUCUGAGUUUUGCAAGUCAAAAAUGCUAUGCUUUUAUUUUUCUAAGCACAUACUCGUAUUUUCAGAGAAGUAUGACGUGACACAUACCAUUGAUGUGUCGCUCUCUGACUUUCUCGUCCAAUGCUGCCACCCAGUGGCGGACAGCGUCAUGUCUGGUCUAUGACGCUGAAGAAAGAGACGAGGGACGGGAAUCAUCGCUGUGUCUAGAUGCAAUGUGACAUAUAGCUCGUGUACAGUACUGAGAAAGAAUAAAAAUAAAGGUUUAUUUCCAAGCAA